GACGAACGCUGGCGGCGUGCCUAAUACAUGCAAGUCGAACGCAGUGGGGACGGGUGAGUAACACGUGGGUAACCUCCCAUCAGAGGGGAUAACACUUGGCAACAGGUGCUAAACCGAUACUGAUUGAUGGACCCGCGGUGCAUUAGCUAGUUGGUGAGGUAACGGCUCACCAAGGCGACGAUGCAGAGCGGACCUGAGAGGAUGACCGGCCAAACUGGAACUGAGACACGGCCCAGACUCCUACGGGAGGCAGCAGUGGGGAAUCUUCGACAAUGGACGAAAGUCUGACCGAGCAACGCCGCGUGAGUGAAGAAGGUUUUCGGAUCGUAAAGCUCUGUUGGUAGAGAGGCGGUAUCUAAACAGAAAGCAACGGCUAACUACGUGCCAGCCGCCGCGGUAAUAC
rnacentral:rRNA from 1 species